GGCUGAGUUACGCGGCUUUGGACAGGGUCCAUUCUUUGGGUCUAGGAAUUGCCUUGUUUCAUUUUUUACUCCUAGCUGCUAAAUGUUUGUACGAGGGGUGGAGUAGUGGGCGCACACAUCGCACUCUCACUGAGCUGUCCACGCGUGGAGAAGGGAUGGUAGGCAGCCCCAUGGCAGCUUCCGGCUUCGGGCUCAAGCUCAAGUGUCCGAGAAAUGUCUCUAAAACACAGACUCUCUCACGUCGCGCAUACCAGCAUCAGGAACUCUUUCUACGGCUGUAUCCCUAGAAAAUGCUGGCUUCAGUUGGCACACGCGCACUAAAUGUCUGUUGAAUAAAUAAAUUCCUGUUUUCCUCUU